ensembl:lncRNA
GGGCUUGAUUCUCAUCAACAUUUCUAGUCUUAAUUUCUAAGAUUAAAAUCUGUUAAUACAAAAAGAAAACAAUUAAAAUUAUCCUUAUGAUUUUAUCUUAAAAUAUAUAAUUAUAUAAACUGUUUUAUUCAGGUAAGUUAGGGUUUACAUCCUCACCACUCUGUGGCCUGUUUUUUCUCCUCCUCCAUGCAAAUCCGGUAAGAAGAUGACUGCUUACUGUAACUCAGUUACUCACCAGUAAACAGUUAAUGCUUAAUUUCUGGGUGCUGCUUCCUUUUGUGUACAAGCUGUCUCGUUUUCCCUGGAGGUACUAUGUACUUUAACACCUCUGUGUGUUUCUUCAGGCUUUUCCAGACACCCACUGUCCUACUUUAACUUUGAAAAACUUAACCCAUCCUUUAAGGCACGGUGGAAAUGUGCCCUUGGCUGACGUCUUCCUCCAGAAGCAGAGUUUUCUACAUCCUCUGUGUUAUUCUACUUUCCCUGCCCUGAAAUAGGAAAAAUGCAAAGCUGAGGAAGCCCUCAGUGACCUGUAUAAAACAGAACUGACAUAUCUACAGUGAUGAUAAAGAAACUCAAAAAGAACUGUGAAUCUUUGUUUUUCCUGGACCAAACUAAAGUGAACUUCAUUCCUGUCUGAUCUUUCCCCAUCUUCAAAAGUGGAAGCACUGGAAGCUCCUUUGUUCAAGCUGUGUGCCUUUGAGAGAGGAAGAAAAAGACUUCAAGGGGCAAGUUUACUUUAAUGCAAAGAGUCAGUUUUCAAGUAAUGUAAUCCUUUUUUGGAUAAACUGAUGUUGAGUAUGAUUAGCAAACCCUUGAUAAUAAAGUCUCUGCAUUUAAUGCUGAUAUCUCA